UACGUAGGGUGCAAGCGUUGUCCGGAAUUAUUGGGCGUAAAGAGCUCGUAGGCGGUUCGUCGCGUCGGCUGUGAAAUCCCGGAGCUCAACUCCGGGUCUGCAGUCGAUACGGGCGGACUCGAGUUCGGCAGGGGAGACUGGAAUUCCUGGCUGUAGCGGUGAAAUGACGCAGAUAUCAGGAGGAACACCGGUGGCGAAGGCGGGUCUCUGGGCCGAUACUGACGCUGAGGAGCGAAAGCGUGGGGAGCGAACAGG
rnacentral:rRNA from 1 species